AAAUAAACAUCACUAAUUUUUCCUAAAUUGAAACCCAGGUUUCUUCUUCUUCUUUGCGCUUGAUUUCCUUUCCUUUCCCAGGUUUCUUUCUUCUCUGCAAACCUAGGCCAUUUGUUUCAUUCUUGCUUUUGAUUCCUAAAAUGAAACUCAAGUUUCCUUUUCUUUUUUGUACUCGAUUUCCUUUCCUUUCCCAGGCUUCUUUCUUCUCUGCAAACCUAGGUCAUUUGUUUCAUUUUUGCUUUCGAUUCCUUUCCUUUUCAUGCUGUUUCCAAUGGGUUCUCUUUGUUUUCGAUCUUAUUCUUUUUCCUUUUCCAAUUUGUUCCGAAUCCCACUCUAAACUCAACCCUCGAGAACUUUUCCGUUCAUUUGUCGCUGCCGUUCCCAUCACUGUCGUUCAUCUUCCUUUUCCUUCCAUCUAUAACACUGGUUUAAGGGGCAGAGAUAGAGCGUCAAAUCGAUGAAAAAAAGGGAAUUAAAGCUAAGCUGGAAGAGGCAUCUAGAGAACCAAGAAGGAAGAUGAAGAAAGGAAAUAAUUGCAGAAUUUAAAAGCUUGCUUUCUUCAUUUCCCUAGGAAAUGAGUUUGAUGUAGAGUCAAUUAGGUAAGUACAAAAAGGCUGCAAUAGAUAUUCAUUCUAUCCGGGCUGAUAUGUAAUCUUUUUCCAGUAUUCUUGAUGGGAAGGUUAGUACUUUAUAAGUUGUGUGGUCAUUUUUGGUUUUGCUUUAAGGGCUUAGGGAUCAUUUUUUUCUAUAUGGACUUACAAAGAAUUUGUAAAUAAUUAUUUAUGAACAGAUGAAAGAGUGUGAGAAUUUAUCUGUCAGAUCUGCUGACCAUGUUGCUGAGAUGCAUAAGUUGCAAGCCAUGGUAUGAUUGGUUAAUAUUACUCUGUUAUUUUGAUUAAACAUGUCUUCAAGAAACUUGUGAUAGGAAAUUGAUGCUUGUUGAAAUUAAAGGGAAAGAUGCUUACAUUUACCAGUAAAAUCUGCGUUUGUCUGUGCUACCUUAGUGGCUCAUUUCCUCCCCGCUGGUUCCACAUUUCAGGUUUUCCUUGAGCCUUCUUUAGAUCCUCUGGACUAUACCUUUGCUGAUUGUUUCAUAAAAUUUUUGCUACAAGUAUUUUUUUUACCUUUUCAAGUUGCUACAUUUGUAUCAAUGCUUGCAGUAGUUUACAUGAGAAUAUUCCUUGAGGAAAAUAUACCAAAUCAAGUGGACAGUAUAACACAAUCAAUCUUGAAAGAGCAAGUAAGGCUUGCUAUAGUAAUAUUUUCCUGGCACUUUGGCCUAUUCUCGAAACUGGUAAAAUUAGGCUAUCAUUUUAAAGAAGUGAAUGUAUAAGUUGUUUCCAUGGCCUAAUACUCACAAUAAUUUGAUGUAAUUGUGUUAUUAUUAAUGUUUGAAAUGACUAAUAAAGUUUUAAUUUCAGUAUACAAUUUUCCUAAGCAGCAGUUGUUGCUUUCUUCAAUGGUCUUGCAGAGGGUGAGAUGAUAUCUUCAUCGAUGGUAUGACUUCCUUUCUAAUUGUGAAAUUAUGACUUUUACCAAUUAGAAACUUAAGAUGAGUUUUUUGAUCUUAUAAUCCAAAUAUACAUAGCUGAAAAUGACAAAAUCAAUGAUUUAGAAGCAAACUCAAAGAAAUGAACAAGCAAACCAAAACCGAAAAUUAAUAGGGUAGUAAAGCAAGAGCAUGAAAAUAAAUUAAAAAAAAAAUUAAAACACUUGACUCAAGUAACAAAGUGCCUCCUAGGUGAAUGCUCAACCUAGAAGCAACCUUGUACCAUCCUUAUCAACCUCUAAACAGCCAUGAAAAAUCAAAGAAACAACAACCUAAAGCAAACAUCAAAAUCUGGAGACUGGUUUUGGACAACAUCUGAUUAAAAUUAAGUUUCACUCUUAUUUGAUAGUAUUUGAUCUCCAAAUUUUUUGUGGAAGUAACUAACUAAUAUAUGAACAUGCACAUAAAUUUUCAAGAGCAUUGGACAUCGUUUAGUACUUGAAAUUUAACCAAAACCGUAGCAAAACAAAAUCUGGAAUUUCAGCUUGAAAAACAGAACAGCUCCUACUAAAUCUUAGAUAUAGCUCGAUAUAUAUGGAAUUUUUGCUCUCAUAUUUUAUAGAAGUUUAGAUAACUCAUAGAUGAACAAGUGCUAAAAAGCUUGAUACAAAUUGAAAUCGAAUUGAACUUGGAAAGUAACAAAAACCAAAACAAAAUAAAAUCUGAAAACAGAAUAACAUUCUGGAAACAGCUUUUAAAAAAGAUUAAAUUUGCUAGCUCAAUUAGAACUAUUUGAUCAAGAGGAAGCACGGUAAAUCAAGCUAACAAGUAGAGGAACAACAUACAAAAAGCUCAUGAUUUGUUGAAACUAAAAUCAACUUAAAAAUUAAUUAAACAGUAGCUAACAUCAAACCUGAAAACUCAAAAACUGUGUUCAAUACAAAUUGAAAUUGCAAGCUUAAAUGGAAAAUGUUUGCUUAAAGGAACUAAAGUAGAGCUAAAUAACAGGUAAAGGAAUGUAAAAGAAACUUAAAAUUAAUUUAAAACAAAAGGAAAAACAAAGAACAAGUGCUGUAGAUUGAAUGUAACUCAUCAAUGUCAAAUUUAUUUGUUCUUGUCCAUUUCUACACUCUUGUUCAUGUUAAUGGCUAGUACAAUGUAUGGCUGUUGAUUGAAUAAUAAUGUUCUUUGCUUUAUCAUACCAAAGUAUUC